CCUACGGGCGGCAGCAGUGAGGAAUAUUGGUCAAUGGACGCAAGUCUGAACCAGCCAUGCCGCGUGAAGGAAGAAGGUUCUAUGAAUUGUAAACUGCUUUUGUACGGGAGUAAAUACUGAUACGCGUCUCGGGUUGAAAGUAUCGUACGAAUAAGGAUCGGCUAACUCCGUGCCAGCAGCCGCGGUAAUACGGAGGAUUCAAGCGUUAUCCGGAUUUAUUGGGUUUAAAGGGUGCGAAGGCGGUAUGCCAAGUCAGCGGUAAAAGCGCGGGGCUCAACCUCGCUCCGCCGUUGAAACUGGCGGUAUUGAGUGGGCGAGAAGUAUGCGGAAUGCGUGGUGUAGCGGUGAAAUGCAUAGAUAUCACGCAGAACUCCGAUUGCGAAGGCAGCAUACCGGCGCCCAACUGACGCUGAGGCACGAAAGCGUGGGUAUCGAACAGGAUUAGAUACCCCAGUAGUC
rnacentral:rRNA from 1 species